rnacentral:tRNA from 1 species
GGGGAAUUAGCUCAAAUGGUAGAGUGCUUGCUUUGCAUAUGAGAGGUAGUGGGAUGGAGACCUGCAUUCUCCA